AAGAGUGCAGUAAUUGGAUGGAAGCCCGGGCUUUGAGAAUGAAGGGCGCUUUCAUAGGCGAAAGGUCAUGGGGAGAUACCGUCUCUGAUCCAUGGAUUUCCGAUCGGAAAACUGCAUCCAAAUUCCAUAGCGGGUAUGCGCUCAUUGUACUUUCAAACUUAACGAACUAAAACAUCUUAGUAGCUAUAGGAAAUAAAAUCAACCAAGACCCCGUUAGUUGCGGCCAGCGAAGCUAGUUAGAGCUUGAAAAGAUUGCUAGCUUUCUUCCAAGAUUAAAUGAUGGACAAACUAGCAAGCGACGACCAAGGUUCCACACGUGCAGGUAACUGUACUGUGAAAAGAUUAGAAGAUCUGGCCAAAGAAGGUGAGUACCCCGUAGACUCGUUCCAAGAUUCGAUCCUUCCCAGUAAACACAAUGUGUUUGAAUAUGAUCGUUUUUACGCGAUGAAGGAGGAUCACCCUAUAAUCCUAAGUAUUCGGUGACUAAUGGUGUAGGGAAACUGUGAGGGAAAGGUGUAAAUAACCUUAUUUAGGGAGUGCAGUAGAGAACUUGAAAUUCAAUACAAACAAUCAUUCGAAGGAUCAGAUGGCUCUAACUGCGUACCUUCUACAUGAUUGGUCCACGAGAAAAUGGGGAGAGCAUCUUAAGCUAUCAGGUUUAGGCGUUUUCCAAAGAUUAAUUUUAUAGUUUUUCUUAUUUGACCUUAAACCAAUCGAUCUAUCCAUGAGCAGGUUUAAGAGAGCCCUAACAGGUCUUGGAGGAUCGAACUUAUGUAUGUGGAAAAAUACGUGGAUGGAUUGUGGCUUGCGGUGAAAGGCCAAUCAAGAUCGGAUGUAGCUGAUUUUCCACGAAAUGUAUUUCAGUAGAGCGUAUAAAGUCGACGGCCCGAGGUAGAGCGCUCAUUGGGCUAUGGUGGCCACAAUUUUAUUUACCAACAAGGGGAAACUCCGAGUACGGUCUUAAAUCGUUUAUACAGACAGACUUUGGGGGCUAAGAUCCAAAUUGGAGAGCAAAACAUCUCUAUUUGUACGCUAAGGUCCCAAACAACCACUUAGUGGAAAAGGAAAUGACGAUCUAUGACAAUCAGGAAUAGAAGCGGCUAUCAUCUGAAGAAACCGCAAUAGUUCACUGGUCUAGCACCAUGGCACCGAAAGUAUAUCGAGGUUCAAGUGAUUCGCCGAAGCGACGAGAUAUUGAAUCAAGUGUCAGUAGCGGGACGUUCUGUCGAUCGGUGAAGGUUUUUGGUGACAAGACCUGGAGAUAUCAUAAGUGAGAAUGCCGACAUGAACAACAAGAUAUCCUGUAAAAAAUAAGAUAGCCUACCAGUUUAGUAAAUCUACGCAUAGUGAAUCGGUCCAUAAGAAAAACUAUAAAGGGCUUGGUUUGAUGGGUACACGAAAAUGACGAAGUUCCUUUGACUACUAAACCAUGCUUGUCUCUUGGAGUAUCAGAUCGUGCAGCAAGAUAUGGACGAAAAUACUCAUAUGUCCUACAUGUGAGGGGUUCAACCCGCUAAUAAGCCUUACCUUCUAAGCAAUGAAAACAAUACGUCAUCAAAACCUUUAUGAGUUUGAAACUUUUAGGAAAAAACUUUGAAUUAGGAGGGGAGUUUUUCUGUGAAUUAGGAAAGUGGCAUAUACCAGGGAUUAGUGACAGUUUAUUAAAAACACAAGACUCUACUAUGUGGUAAUACAAAAGUAUAGAGUCUGACACCCGCUCGGUGAUGGUAGGCUGGAUGGAAGUGCGAUUAUAUUUGAAUAUAAAUUCCAAUAGACGACGCUAUUAACUCAACCUGUCCUAAGGUAGCAAAAUUCCUUGUCACAUAAAUAGUGACCUACUCGAAUGAUGUAACAACUGCCCUGCUAUCUCCAACAUAUACUCGAUGAAAUUGAAUUGUCCGUGAAGAUGCGGAGUACCAAAGGUUAGACGGUAAUACCGUGUGCACCUUGACUAUAGCUUCUGAAUAAAAAUAUGAAAGACCUUUCGUCUAAGGGUGUCUAACCGCCACACUAGGUAUUCGGAUAUCGGAAAAAUACUGUGAGGUGGGUUGUUUAUCUGGGCGGAUACCUCCUAAAGAGUAAUGGAGGCAUGCGAAGGUUGGCUCAAGUUUUAAUUAUGCUUGUGAAUGUAAUGGUAUAAGCCUGUCUGACAAUGAGACCUACUAGUCAAAUAGAGACGAAAUUCGUCCAUAGUGAUUCGGGAAUCCUAUGUGAAAGGGCUUUCGCCCAACGGAUCAAAGGUACGUCGGGGAUAACAUGAUGAUGACUCCAAAGAGUUCUUAUUAACGGAGUAGUUUGGCAUCUAGAUGUCGAAUCAUCAAAUCCUGAGGUUGAAGAAGGUCCCAAGGGUUCAGUUGUUUUUCGAUUCAUGUGGUACGUGAGUUGGGCUUAGAACAUCAUGAGAGGGUUCGAUUGCUACCUAAUGUUAGUGUUAAAGGCAGAACUGCGAGGAGCCAACCCUAUUAUGAGAGGACUGGGUUAGGCCAACCUAUGGUUUUUAUGUCUAUAUCAUCGCCGAUAAUCUAAGUUCGUAUGGAAUAACUACAACUUGAGAGAAAUCCUUCUCAAUACAAGUUCUCAUACAAGGUUUUUGAAUGGAACUUUGAUAUGCGAGAUUUGUAAGCAUCGUUAUUUGUUCAGCCAUAUCGUAGUAAACGAAAGAAAAAUAAAAGAA
rnacentral:rRNA from 1 species